AACGUAGGACACGAGCGUUAUCCGGAGUUAUUGGGCGUAAAGAGCUCGUAGGCGGUUUGUCGCGUCUGCCGUGAAAGUCCGGGGCUCAACUCCGGAUCUGCGGUGGGUACGGGCAGACUAGAGUGAUGUAGGGGAGACUGGAAUUCCUGGUGUAGCGGUGAAAUGCGCAGAUAUCAGGAGGAACACCGAUGGCGAAGGCAGGUCUCUGGGCAUUAACUGACGCUGAGGAGCGAAAGCAUGGGGAGCGAACAGG
rnacentral:rRNA from 1 species